AACGAACGCUGGCGGCAGGCUUAACACAUGCAAGUCGAGCGCCCCGCAAGGGGAGCGGCAGACGGGUGAGUAACGCGUGGGAAUCUACCCAUCUCUACGGAAUAACGCAUGGAAACGUGUGCUAAUACCGUAUACGUCCUUCGGGAGAAAGAUUUAUCGGAGAUGGAUGAGCCCGCGUUGGAUUAGCUAGUUGGUGGGGUAAAGGCCUACCAAGGCGACGAUCCAUAGCUGGUCUGAGAGGAUGAUCAGCCACACUGGGACUGAGACACGGCCCAGACUCCUACGGGAGGCAGCAGUGGGGAAUAUUGGACAAUGGGCGCAAGCCUGUUCCAGCCAUGCCGCGUGAGUGAUGAAGGCCCUAGGGUUGUAAAGCUCUUUCACCGGUGAAGAUAAUGACGGUAACCGGAGAAGAAGUCCCGGCUAACUUCGUGCCAGCCGCCGCGGUAACAC
rnacentral:rRNA from 1 species